rnacentral:lncRNA from 1 species
AUGAGCACAGGGAGGCGAGGAGUCCGGGUACCUUUUUGGAUGAGAUGUGUGUCUACCUUCUCCGCUCACACCUCUGUGGCUGCAGUCACCUCCCUGAACCAUCUUACGGUGGGCACAGGCUCCAGCUGUCAAUUUUUUGCACAGUGUGCUCAUACCUGCCUGGCAGCAUCGCCUCUGGAGCAGGUCUCAGGACCCUCAGAAACAGAGCAGAGAGCUGAAGCUAGGGAGAGGCUAGCACAGAGUGCCACCAGGCCUCCUGGCCAUGGGCAAGCAGGGUUCGCUGUCCCUUGGUCACCAUCAGCCGGCAGCGGGAGCCCAGCCCAUCCUUGCUGGGGGCUGGAUGUCCUCACAGGCAGCCGGGAGCCCCCUGCCCUGAACCUGUGUGGCUGGAGGUGGUGGGGCAGCAGCACGGCACAGCUGUGGAGAGCAACCUCUCGUUCAUCUCAACAGCAUCACCUGGCAGGGCAUCCCCUUCACAGAGAGCAGCGGGUGGAGGUGGCAGGACACCAGCAGCCCCUCGACCGGUUUGGUAGAGGCUCCUCAGCCUUCUCCUGUUGCUGCCCCGGUGCCUGCGAGCUCCAGACAGAAAGGCAGACAGGGAAUUUGCUCCAGGCGCUUGCAGAUGCAAGCUCUGCUGCACUGGGCUUGCUGGGGAUGACACUCACCGUGCCCUGCUAAUACCUUUUUCUCUUUUAGAGAUGGGAUUGGAGUCAGUUGCAGAAACCUGGGAGAUUCCCUCCCUUGGGCUAGACUGUGCAAACUCGCCCCGAAGAAACCAUUGUUUCUUGAAAGCCUCUGUAAGCUCCCUGUCCCCAGCUCCCCAGCCCAGCUCAGCAUUUUGGGCGAGUUAUGAAACAGGGCAGAUGCUGGAGCACAGCAUUUGUAUUAUCCACCAGCAAAUGACUGGAUGUGAUAAACACUUGGCUCUCCCGUGCAGGGACAGGGUGAGGGCUGUUCCUUGCCGCGGGGGAAAUGACAUUACAGGUUUGCAAGAGCUGGGCACUUUGUUGUGCAGAAGCCAUCUGACGCUGACAGCCUGUCAUUGAUUUGCGAAAACAUCGUUUGGCAUCGAUAACAAGCGUUCAGGAGAAACAAGUAGGACACAGAAAAGCAACACCCAGGUAUUGCUUCGCUGUUCCCUAUCCAGACUGGAAGCGCACAGACGUGUCUCCACUAUGAAAACAAGCACAGGAGAAGCAGAAAAUCCUCCUCCGUGUUCCUGGACAUUGGCAGAGGUCUUGGGCAGCGCUCACCCAGGCUGGCCUCCCCUGGGCAUGCCCUAAAUGUCUGAGUUGUUUGGGUGAUGGAGCAGAGCGAAGCUGCUGCAUCGCUUGGGUGAGACAUUGGGAACCUUGGGGAGGGGAAGCUGAGGGUAAUUAGGCUCUAGUUGCUCUAGGUCUGAGUCUCAUUAACAAAGUUUGGGUUUCUGCUGCUGGGGUUCACUGGAGAAGCACCCUGGAGCAGCAGCAGGUGUACAAAGCUCACCCUACCCAGGAACACGCCCCGUGCUUUCUGAUAUUGCUCUUGUUCCCAUGAAAACCAACGUGCGGCAUUGCUGCGGCCACCUGCGUGUUCACAAACACCAGGGAAACACAAAACCUGAUGAAUGGGAAUGAAAUAAAGUGCGUUCGGUGUCCUCCUGCUGCUUUCGA